GGUCGCGUGGUGUAGUGGUUAGCACUUAAGAUUUUGACGUGUGACAAAAUUCUUAAGACCUGAGUUCGAAUCUCGGCGUGACCU
rnacentral:tRNA from 1 species